rnacentral:rRNA from 1 species
UACGUAGGGUCCAAGCGUUGUCCGGAUUUAUUGGGCGUAAAGAGCUCGUAGGCGGUCUGUCGCGUCUGCUGUGAAAACUCGGGGCUUAACCCCGGGCCUGCAGUGGGUACGGGCAGACUAGAGUGCGGUAGGGGAGACUGGAAUUCCUGGUGUAGCGGUGAAAUGCGCAGAUAUCAGGAGGAACACCGGUGGCGAAGGCGGGUCUCUGGGCCGUAACUGACGCUGAGGAGCGAAAGCAUGGGGAGCGAACAGG